GAAGCAUCGUAGUUUUUACGAAAAGUAAACCGAUAUAAGCUUAUGGAAGAUGGCGGAAGUCUAAUUAUGUGUCAGCGAAAACAUGUGUUGUUUGCAAUAAGAUUUCAACUCUCUCCUCGAUAGUUCUGAAAUUGAACUCGUCAUGGCAAACACAAUACGAUUUCUCGAUGACUGAACUGGAUCCUUUCUAAAUUAUGAAGUGCAAAGAAACAUGCUUUCAGCGAAAUGAAAGACAGCGAAUAUUUUUCGUGUUCUUGUUCCACAGAAAUGGAGUGAAGUACUGGAAUAUCAAGGACGGCUUCUUCGUUUACACGGUACGGAAUGAAUUUAAAAGCCGUACAGAGUCUACAGACUUUACAGUUGCUCUGGAACUAUAGAAUGGUUCUGGAAAACUUUCAAGCCGAUGUUCAGCAAUUACAACUGAGGAAGAAAAUGAUUGGAUUAUUUAGGAUAGAAUUGGACAAAGAUAAGUAAAUCUGUGUAGUCGUCAUUCCUCUCAUUCUAAUGUUCCGAAGAAGCUUCGAAACGUUCAAUCAAGCUUCAAAAGUUCUUGGUGCACAGAUCAAAGUACACUGGCCUGUCGAAGAAUCCCUGACCCACUGCUAAGAUAAGAAUGCACUUGCUGAAAAAUAAGACCAUUUAUUUCCAGAAUUCAUGAUUGAGUCAUGAAAAGAGUAAUUAAAAUAUCCCUAAUCUAUAUUUUGGAUGCAUUUUUUCACUUUGAACUGUCUAAAAACAAAAACAAAGUAUUGCCUCUAUAGUUGAUCAUCUUUGCAUCGAUGCAUGGACAAUAGAUGUAAGUAUUUCACAAUAUUGAGGAUGAAAUGUUACUUUGUUAAGCGUUUAUCAGCUCUAUAAUUUAUACUUUCGCAAAGCUAAAUAAGUUUUUCUAGAACCUCUUGAAACAGACCUUCUUUCACUGAUUAAACCAUGGAGCUGCGAUUGUAACAUCUUUGUUUAUGAUGAGUUACCGGUUAGAUUG